AGUGAACGCUGGCGGUAGGCCUAACACAUGCAAGUCGAACGGCAGCACAGUAAGAGCUUGCUCUUACGGGUGGCGAGUGGCGGACGGGUGAGGAAUACAUCGGAAUCUACUUUUUCGUGGGGGAUAACGUAGGGAAACUUACGCUAAUACCGCAUACGACCUACGGGUUAAAUCAGUGGAUCUUCGGACCUUUCGCGAUUGAAUGAGCCGAUGUCGGAUUAGCUAGUUGGCGGGGUAAAGGCCCACCAAGGCGACGAUCCGUAGCUGGUCUGAGAGGAUGAUCAGCCACACUGGAACUGAGACACGGUCCAGACUCCUACGGGAGGCAGCAGUGGGGAAUAUUGGACAAUGGGCGCAAGCCUGAUCCAGCCAUACCGCGUGGGUGAAGAAGGCCUUCGGGUUGUAAAGCCCUUUUGUUGGGAAAGAAAAGCAGCAGGUUAAUACCCCGCUGUUCUGACGGUACCCAAAGAAUAAGCACCGGCUAACUUCGUG
rnacentral:rRNA from 1 species